GUCGGUGGGACAUGAUGCUGAUGAUGAUUUGCUCAGCGAAAUAUAUUUGUAUGAAUCCCCCGAC
rnacentral:pre_miRNA from 1 species